rnacentral:rRNA from 1 species
AUGCGUUUUGUGUGGCGCAUCCAGGAGUCUGAGGUGAAGGAGGCUUUAAAAAGGAUGAAAGGAGGCAAGGCGAUGGGCCCUGAUUGUAUCCCCAUUGAGGUGUGGAAAGGUCUCGGGGACAUAGCGAUAGUAUGGCUAACCAAGCUUUUCAACCUCAUUUUUCGGGCAAACAAGAUGCCAGAAGAAUGGAGAUGGAGUAUAUUAGUACCAAUCUUCAAGAACAAGGGGGAUGUUCAGAGUUGUACUAAUUACCGUGGAAUUAAGCUGAUGAGCCAUACAAUGAAGCUAUGGGAGAGAGUCAUUGAGCACCGCUUAAGAAGAAUGACAAGCGUGACCAAAAAUCAGUUUGGUUUCAUGCCUGGGAGGUCGACCAUGGAAGCCAUUUUCUUGGUACGACAACUUAUGGAGAGAUAUAGGGAGCAUAAGAAGGACUUGCAUAUGGUGUUCAUUGACUUGGAGAAGGCCUAUGAUAAGAUACCGCGGAAUGUCAUGUGGUGGGCCUUGGAGAAACACAAAGUCCCAGCAAAGUACAUUACCCUCAUCAAGGACAUGUACAAUAAUGUUGUGACAAGUGUUCGAAUAAGUGAUGUCGACACCGAUGACUUCCCGAUUAAGAUAGGACUGCAUCAGGGGUCAGCUUUGAGCCCUUAUCUUUUUGCAUUGGUGAUGGAUGAGGUCACAAGGGGUAUACAAGGAGAUAUCCCAUGGUGUAUGCUCUUUGCGGAUGAUGUGGUGCUAGUUGACGAUAGUCGGACAGGGGUAAAUAGGAAGUUAGAGUUAUGGAGACAAACCUUGGAAUCGAAAGGGUUUAGGCUUAGUAGAACUAAAACCGAGUACAUGAUGUGCGGUUUCAGUACUACUAGCUGUGAGGAGGAGGAGGUUAGCCUUGAUGGCUAG